CUUGUUGGCGGGGUAACGGCCCACCAAGGCGACGAUCAGUAGCCGGCCUGAGAGGGUGGACGGCCACAUUGGGACUGAGACACGGCCCAAACUACUACGGGAGGCAGCAGUGGGGAAUAUUGGACAAUGGGGGGAACCCUGAUCCAGCGACGCCGCGUGAGUGAAGAAGUAUUUCGGUAUGUAAAGCUCUAUCAGCAGGGAAGAAAAUGACGGUACCUGACUAAGAAGCCCCGGCUAACUACGUGCCAGCAGCCGCGGUAAUACGUAGGGGGCAAGCGUUAUCCGGAUUUACUGGGUGUAAAGGGAGCGUAGACGGCAUGGCAAGCCAGAUGUGAAAUACCGGGGCUCAACCCCGGGACUGCAUUUGGAACUGUUAAGCUGGAGUGUCGGAGAGGCAGGCGGAAUUCCUAGUGUAGCGGUGAAAUGCGUAGAUAUUAGGAGGAACACCAGUGGCGAAGGCGGCCUGCUGGACGAUAACUGACGUUGA
rnacentral:rRNA from 1 species